rnacentral:rRNA from 1 species
CAUUAUAGAGUUUGUUGGCCGUCAACUGUCGCCGGGGCCGAGGUCGCCGGGCACGUUGACGGCCUUCUCUCUAAUUCUCUACAUCACACUUGUGCACCGUGGGAUUGUAUGCCCAUAUCUUCACACACACAAUCGUCUAAUGCAUGUUUUAUAAUUUGAAUUUAAUACAACUUUCAACAACGGAUCUCUUGGCUUUCGCAUCGAUGAAGGACGCCGCGAACGAGCGAAACGUAAUGUGAAUUGCAGAAUUCAGUGAAUCAUCGAAUCUUUGAACGCAUCUUGCGCUCCUCGGAAAUCCGAGGAGCAUGCCUGUUUGAGUGUCAUUAAUAUUGUCGACCUCGGUCGGAUUUUGGAUGUUGCUGGCGGGUACUCGUCGGCUCAUCUUGAAAUGGAUAUAGCUUGGUUCCGUAAUGUUAUUGUGGAAGGGCGAUGGCUCGUGAUAAGUGAAAGUGUCUUGUGACAUUUGAACGGUUCGGGUGCUCGUGCUUUUCAAUAUAUAUAUGCGGGCUGCUUCAUUAAACGCACACGUUUUUGAUAUUGACCUCAAAUCAGGUAGGAUUACCCGCUGAACUUAAGCAUAUCAAUAAGCGG